rnacentral:rRNA from 1 species
UACGUAGGGUGCGAGCGUUGUCCGGAAUUAUUGGGCGUAAAGAGCUCGUAGGCGGUUUGUCGCGUCUGCCGUGAAAGUCCGGGGCUCAACUCCGGAUCUGCGGUGGGUACGGGCAGACUAGAGUGAUGUAGGGGAGACUGGAAUUCCUGGUGUAGCGGUGAAAUGCGCAGAUAUCUGGAGGAACACCGGUGGCGAAGGCGGCAUCCUGGACCGAUACUGACACUGAGGAGCGAAAGCCAGGGGAGCAAACGGG